AGAGGUUGAUUCUGGCUCAGGAUGAACGCUGGCGGCGUGCUUAACACAUGCAAGUCGAACGGGAAAGACUUUAUUGAAACUUCGGUCGAUAUGAUUUAAUUCUAGUGGCGGACGGGUGAGUAACGCGUGGGUAACCUGCCUUAUACAGGGGGAUAACAGUCAGAAAUGACUGCUAAUACCGCAUAAGCGCACAGAGCUGCAUGGCUCGGUGUGAAAAACUCCGGUGGUAUAAGAUGGACCCGCGUUGGAUUAGCUAGUUGGUGAGGUAACGGCCCACCAAGGCGACGAUCCAUAGCCGGCCUGAGAGGGUGAACGGCCACAUUGGGACUGAUACACGGCCCAUACUCCUACGGGAGGCACUAUUGUGUAAUAUUGCACAAUGGGGGAAAACCCUGAUGCAGCGCGGCCGCGGAAAGGAAGAAAUAUUUCGGUAUGUAAACUUCUAUCAGCAGGGAAGAAAAUGACGGUACAUGAUUAAGAAGCCCUGGCUAAUUACGCGCCAGCAGCCGCGGUAAUACGUAGGGGGCAAGUCGUUAUCCGGAUUUACUGGGUGUAAAGGGAGCGUAGACGGAUGGACAAGUCUGAUGUGAAAGGCUGGGGCUCAACCCCGGGACUGCAUUGGAAACUGCCCGUCUUGAGUGCCGGAGAGGUAAGCGGAAUUCCUAGUGUAGCGGUGAAAUGCGUAGAUAUUAGGAGGAACACCAGUGGCGAAGGCGGCUUACUGGACGGUAACUGACGUUGAGGCUCGAAAGCGUGGGGAGCAA
rnacentral:rRNA from 1 species